CGGACGGGUGAGUAACACGUGGGUAACCUGCCUGUAAGACUGGGAUAACUCCGGGAAACCGGGGCUAAUACCGGAUGGUUGUUUGAACCGCAUGGUUCAAACAUAAAAGGUGGCUUCGGCUACCACUUACAGAUGGACCCGCGGCGCAUUAGCUAGUUGGUGAGGUAACGGCUCACCAAGGCAACGAUGCGUAGCCGACCUGAGAGGGUGAUCGGCCACACUGGGACUGAGACACGGCCCAGACUCCUACGGGAGGCAGCAGUAGGGAAUCUUCCGCAAUGGACGAAAGUCUGACGGAGCAACGCCGCGUGAGUGAUGAAGGUUUUCGGAUCGUAAAGCUCUGUUGUUAGGGAAGAACAAGUACCGUUCGAAUAGGGCGGUACCUUGACGGUACCUAACCAGAAAGCCACGGCUAACUACGUGCCAGCAGCCGCGGUAAUACGUAGGUGGCAAGCGUUGUCCGGAAUUAUUGGGCGUAAAGGGCUCGCAGGCGGUUUCUUAAGUCUGAUGUGAAAGCCCCCGGCUCAACCGGGGAGGGUCAUUGGAAACUGGGGAACUUGAGUGCAGAAGAGGAGAGUGGAAUUCCACGUGUAGCGGUGAAAUGCGUAGAGAUGUGGAGGAACACCAGUGGCGAAGGCGACUCUCUGGUCUGUAACUGACGCUGAGGAGCGAAAGCGUGAGGAGCGAACAGGAUUAGAUACCCUGGUAGUCCACGCCGUAAACGAUGAGUGCUAAGUGUUAGGG
rnacentral:rRNA from 1 species